rnacentral:pre_miRNA from 1 species
AGCUUCCAUGACUCCUGAUGGAGGAAUCACAUGAAUUCAUCAGAAUUCAUGGAGGCUAGA